rnacentral:rRNA from 1 species
UGGGGGUUAUUGCACAAUGGGCGAAAGCCUGAUGCAGCGACGCCGCGUGGGGGAUGAAGGCUUUCGGGUUGUAAACCUCUUUCGCUAUCGAACAAGGCCCGCUUAGGGUGGGUUGAGGGUAGGUGGAGAAGAAGCGCCGGCUAACUACGUGCCAGCAGCCGCGGUAAUACGUAGGGCGCGAGCGUUGUCCGGAAUUAUUGGGCGUAAAGGGCUUGUAGGCGGCUUGUUGCGCCUGCUGUGAAAACGCGGGGCUUAACUUCGCGCGUGCAGUGGGUACGGGCAGGCUUGAGUGUGGUAGGGGUGACUGGAAUUCCAGGUGUAGCGGUGGAAUGCGCAGAUAUCUGGAGGAACAACGAUGGCGAAGGCAGGUCACUGGGCCAUUACUGACGCUGAGGAGCGAAAGAAUGGGUAGCGAACAGG